GCCUCUCUCCUCCUCUCCAAGAGACGAAUACAUUUGGGCCCAGUAGGGACCUAUGUUUGCAAAAGCUCGCAGGCGAUUCUCAUGCAGACAGCCUGGCUCUGGCACUGAGUUCUUGGACACUUCUGGAGGCACAUUUACUAGUGAGGAAGAUCACUGUGUGCUGAAGGCAUGACUCAUCUUCCAUUCCUUUCUUCCAUAAAGCAAGGCGCAUGGGUCGACUGAGCUGGGAGAGUCCACGGUGUCAGCCUCCCCCACGCUUCCCUCCCUCCUUAUUCCUUGUGUGCUGUACUUUGUCUUGAUUUCCUGUACUCUGCACCAAGCCAGGAGAUGGGUGUCUCAAGCUCCUGCUCUUAAAACACCUGCAAGAGAAUCAUCCAGGCGGCUUGCUCGCUCUGUAUGCAGACCCUUUAGAAUCAGAAUCAGAAUCCCUGGGGCUGGAGCCACAAAAUGAAAUGACAUUUCAACAAGUUUGUCAUCACGUAAGAGAGAAUAGGAUCUUGCUCUGUCACCCAGGCUGGAGCACAGUGGCACCGUCUUGGCUCACUGUAGCCUUUGCCUCCUGGGCUCAAGCAGUCUUCCCACCUCAGCCUUCCUGAGUAGCUGGAACUACAGAAACUCCUGGAGGGCAGAUGCAUGCCUGCCAUCUUCAUCGUUUCAUUACCACCAUCCAACACUAUCGGGGGACCUGCCCUGAUAAUCAGUCUACAGGUGUAUCCAGCAGCUCCAGAGAGACAGCGACCAGCGAGAAGGGGCCAUGAUGAUGGUGGUGGUUUUGUCAAAAUGAAAAGGGGGAUAUGUAGGGAAAAGAAAGAGAGAUCAGACUGUUACUGUGUCUACAUAGAAAGGGAAGCCAUAAGAGACUCCAUUUUGAAAAAGACCUGUACUUUAAACAAUUGCUUGCUGAGAUGUUGUUUAUCUGUAGCUUUGCCCCAGCCACUUUGCCGCAACCACUUUGACCCAAUCUGGAGCUCACAAAAACAUGUUUGUAUGAAAUCAAGGUUUAAGGCAUGUAGGGCUGUGCAGGACGUGCCUUGUUAACCAAAUAUUUGGAAGCAGUAUACUUGGUAAAAGUCAUCACCAUUCUCUCGUCUCAAUAAACCAGGGGCACAAUGCACUGUGGAAAGCCGCAGGGACCUCUGCCCUUGAAAGCUGGGUAUUGUCCAUGGUUUCUUCCCAUGUGAUAGUCUGAAAUAUGGCCUCAUGGGAUGAGAAAGACCUGACGGUCCCCCAGCUCGACACCCAUAAAGUGUCUGUGCUGAGGUGGAUUAGUCAAAGAGGAAAGCCUCUUGCAGUUGAGAUAGAGGAAGGCCGCUGUCUCAUGCUUGCCCCCUGGGAACUGAAUGUCUCGGUAUAAAACACGAUUGUACAUUUGUUCAAUUCUGAGAUGGGAGAAAAACCACCCUAUGGUGGGAGGCGAGACAUGUUUACAGCAAUGCUGCCUUGUUAUUCUUUACUCCACUGAGAUGUCUGGGUGCAGAGAAACAUAAAUCUGGCUUACAUGCACGUCCAGUCAUAGUACCUUCCCUUGAACUUCAUUAUGUCAUAGAUUCUAUUGCUCACAUGUUUGUUGCUGACCUUCUCCUUAUUAUCACCUUGCCCUCCUACUACAUUCAUUUUUGCUGAAAUAAUGAAGAUAAUAAUCAAUAAAAACUGAGGGAACUCAGAGAACGGUGCCAGUGCAGGUCCUUGGUAUGCUAAGCGCCGGUCCCCUGGGCCCACUGUUGUUUCUCUAUA
rnacentral:lncRNA from 1 species